rnacentral:rRNA from 1 species
GAUGAACGCUAGCGGGAGGCCUAACACAUGCAAGCCGAGCGGUAUUGCUUCUUCGGCAAUGUGAGAGCGGCGUACGGGUGCGUAACACGUGUGCAACCUGCCUUUAUCUGGGGGAUAGCCUUUCGAAAGGAAGAUUAAUACUCCAUAAUAUAUUGAACGGCAUCGUUUAAUAUUGAAAGCUCCGGCGGAUAGAGAUGGGUACGCGCACGAUUAGCUAGUUGGUGAGGUAACGGCUCACCAAGGCGAUGAUCUUUAGGUGGCCUGAGAGGGUGAUCCCCCAGACGGGUACUGAGGCACUGACCAGACUGCUACGCGAGGCAGCAGUGAGUAAUAGUGGUCAAGGAGUGCAGGCCUAAACCAGCCAUCCCGCGUGAAGGACGACUCCCCUAGGGGUUGUAAACUUCUUUUGUAUAAGGAUAAACCUACCCUCGUGAGGGUAGCUGAAGGUACUAUACGAAUAAGCACCGGCUAACUCCGUG